UGUGCAGUGACCUGUCAGCUCUAAUGAGGCCACAUCAAUGCAGGGGCAGAGAUGCUAGGCAGCUCUCUGGAGUCGCAGGGACCUGCAGAGAUGAAGACACUGACAUGCAAAGAAGUUAAAUAACUUCCUAAAGUCUUGCAGCUGAAAGGAGCCCACACCUGACUCUGUUCCAUUUUCAGAAUUUCUCUUACCCAGACUGUCAGGACGCAAAGAACUCCUGGUGAUUCAAGUUUUUGGCACUGAGGGAGAUGCUUAGCAGACAAGAUCAUGCCCCUAACUUUUUUCUUUGUGGACUCAAGGGUAAUGCAAGUAAGUUCACAAAGAUGUUGUUACUCAGCUGGAAUUGACUAUCCAUUUCCUGCACUAACUUUUCAUAUCAGAAGGCAGAAUUAACUCUCAACCUUGUGAUUUCUAUUUCCUAGAAAAAAGUUAAGAAGAAUGAGCAAACAGAUAGCCAUGGGUUUAAGGGAAAAUUCCCUAAACAAAAUGUGUCUGAAAUCUAUGCCCCACCCUGCUUACCAUUUCCCUAGGACAGUCAACCACUAGCUUUUACUGAAGUUCCUACUUUGGCCUUCUUUUCUUUUCUUUUGUACUGGGGUUUAAA